GCCUAGAUAGCUCAGUUGGGAGGAGCGUUAGACUGAAGAUCUAAAGGUACCCGGUUCAACCCCGGGUCGGGGCA